rnacentral:ncRNA from 1 species
UGGCAUUUAUUUCUGUGGAGCAUAUAAAAAUUCUCUUAUGUGUUCUUUAAACCCCACUAUAAGCUGGAACUUCUUAUUUUUAUAUUAAGAUAAUCAGCAGGAAAAAUUUAAAAUCCUCAGAGACUAAAUGUGGGGAUUUCAAGGGUGCCCUUAGCCUGUGUGCGGGUAAAGCCGUACACAGACUAAGGAAACCCAGUAAAAUUGAAAUAUGAUAUAGUCCGAUCAAAUACGUGAGUAUUUG